UACGGGGGGGGCAAGCGUUGUUCAGAAUUACUGGGCGUAAAGGGCUCGUAGGCGGCCAACUAAGUCAGACGUGAAAUCCCUCGGCUUAACCGGGGAACUGCGUCUGAUACUGGAUGGCUUGAGUUUGGGAGAGGGAUGCGGAAUUCCAGGUGUAGCGGUGAAAUGCGUAGAUAUCUGGAGGAACACCGGUGGCGAAGGCGGCAUCCUGGACCAACACUGACGCUGAGUGAGCGAAAGCCAGGGGAGCAAACGGG
rnacentral:rRNA from 1 species